rnacentral:rRNA from 1 species
UACGAAGGGGGCUAGCGUUGCUCGGAAUCACUGGGCGUAAAGGGUGCGUAGGCGGGUCUUUAAGUCAGGGGUGAAAUCCUGGAGCUCAACUCCAGAACUGCCUUUGAUACUGAGGAUCUUGAGUCCGGGAGAGGUGAGUGGAACUCCGGAGUGUAGAGGUGAAAUUCGUAGAUAUUCGGAAGAACACCAGUGGCGAAGGCGGCUCACUGGCCCGGUACGUGACGCUGAGGUGCGAAAGCGUGGGGAGCGAACGAGG